rnacentral:rRNA from 1 species
ACGAACGCUGGCGGCGUGCCUAACACAUGCAAGUCGAGCGAGGAGAUCCUCGGGAUGAUCCUAGCGGCGGACGGGUGAGUAACACGUGGGCAACCUGCCUCAUAGAGAGGAAUAGCCUUCCGAAAGGGAGAUUAAUACCUCAUAACAUUGCAGUUUCGCAUGGAACAGCAAUUAAAGGAGUAAUCCGCUAUGAGAUGGGCCCGCGGCGCAUUAGCUAGUUGGUGAGGUAACGGCUCACCAAGGCGACGAUGCGUAGCCGACCUGAGAGGGUGAUCGGCCACAUUGGGACUGAGACACGGCCCAGACUCCUACGGGAGGCAGCAGUGGGGAAUAUUGCACAAUGGGGGAAACCCUGAUGCAGCCAACGCCGCGUGAGUGAUGACGGCCUUCGGGUUGUAAAGCUCUGUCUUCAGGGACGAUAAUGACGGUACCUGAGGAGGAAGCCACGGCUAACUACGUGCCAGCAGCUGC